rnacentral:rRNA from 1 species
CCUGCGCCUGCCGGCGACCGGCGCACGGGUGAGUAACACGUAUGGAACCUGCCCGCCACAGGGGGAUAACUCGGGGAAACCCGGCCUAAUACCCCAUGCCGCCCGGACCGGGCAUCCGGUCCGGGCGAAAGGAGGAAUCCGGUGGCGGCUGGGCAUGCGGCGCAUUAGCUUGACGGCGGGGUAACGGCCCACCGUGGCGACGAUGCGUAGGGGUUCUGAGAGGAAGGCCCCCCACACUGGAACUGAGACACGGUCCAGACUCCUACGGGAGGCAGCAG